rnacentral:rRNA from 1 species
UACGGAGGAUCCGAGCGUUAUCCGGAUUUAUUGGGUUUAAAGGGUGCGUAGGCGGUUUGAUAAGUUAGAGGCGAAAUGUCGGGGCUCAACCCCGAAACUGCCUCUAAUACUGUUGGACUAGAGAAUAGUUGCGGUAGGCGGAAUGUAUGGUGUAGCGGUGAAAUGCUUAGAGAUCAUACAGAACACCGAUUGCGAAGGCAGCUUACCAAACUAUAUCUGACGUUGAGGCACGAAAGCGUGGGUAGCAAACAGG